UACGUAGGGGGCAAGCGUUGUCCGGAUUUAUUGGGCGUAAAGAGCGUGUAGGCGGCUUUACAGGUCCGUUGUGAAAACUCGAGGCUCAACCUCGAGACGCCGGUGGAAACCGUAAAGCUAGAGUCCGGAAGAGGAGAGUGGAAUUCCUGGUGUAGCGGUGAAAUGCGCAGAUAUCAGGAGGAACACCCGUGGCGAAAGCGGCCUCUCGUGGGACGGUACUGACGCUGAGACGCGAAAGCGUGGGGAGCAAACAGG
rnacentral:rRNA from 1 species